CACGUAACCAAGCUACCCUGGAGACCGGAAUAACAGUGGGAAACUGCUGCUAAUGCCGGAUGGUCCUACCGGAUCGCAUGUUCUGGUAGGUAAAGGUUGGGAUCCUGCGGGACCUUCCACUCCAGGAGGUGGUUGCGGCCUAUCAGCUUGUUGGUGAGGUAACGGCUCACCAAGGCGACGACGGGUAGCGGGCCUGAGAGGGUGGCCCGUCACACUGGGACUGAGACACUGCCCAGACUCCUACGGGAGGCUGCAGUCGAGAAUCUUCCGCAAUGGGCGCAAGCCUGACGGAGCGACGCC
rnacentral:rRNA from 1 species